CGGAGGAUCCGAGCGUUAUCCGGAUUUAUUGGGUUUAAAGGGAGCGUAGGUGGAAGAUUAAGUCAGCCUGUGAAAGUUUGCGGCUCAACCGUAAAAUUGCAGUUGAUACUGGUUUUCUUGAGUGCAGUAGAGGUGGGCGGAAUUCGUGGUGUAGCGGUGAAAUGCUUAGAUAUCACGAAGAACUCCGAUUGCGAAGGCAGCUCACUGGACUGUAACUGACACUGAUGCUCGAAAGUGUGGGUAUCAAACAGGAUU
rnacentral:rRNA from 1 species